GGUAAAAUGGCUGAGACCAGGCAAUAAAUUGUAAAUUUAUUUACGAAUGAAGAUUCUUUUAUCA
rnacentral:tRNA from 1 species